GCAAAUAUAGCCAACAUUCGAAAGGUUUGUUCAUGCGUUUUCUCAUUACCCUGGAUACACGCACACAUAAAUUUUCUGGAGAUUUUAGAAAAGAUUGCAAUGCAUUUAUCUUUUACCAAAAUGUUGCAAAACACACUGUCUGCGUUGGGUCUCCCUUCUUCAUAUAACCUGUUAUUUAACUGAGGGGUAAAUAUGUAGCCAACCACAAUCAUGUCUAGUAGGUUUUCUUAAAGCUAAAUUUGUUAAGACUACAUUCAGCUCCAGGAUGAUACUGAUUCAGUGUUCAUGACGGUGAAUUAUUGGAUAUGGGGAUUGAGAUGAUGAAUGGUGGGUUUCUUAAGUCUAAAUUUGUUAGACUAUAUUCAGCUCCAAGGUGAGACUAAUUCAGUGUUCAUGAUGGGGAAUUAUUGGAUAUGGGGAUUAAGAUGAUGAAUGAAGUUCACAAACAAUCUAAUUGUGUACUGUGUAAUGUUAAUGCUUUUGUUUGCUUUGAUUUCACUGAACCAGUUAAUCUUGCUUAUUGGUUCCUCUAUAUUGAGUUCAUAAGAAUUCAUUCAAAGAUUUUGUUAUUCCUGUUGGUGAGGCUCAAUGAUGCAUAUUAUCCCGAGGAAUACCUUACAAGCAUUUGGUCUUUAUACUAUGGUCAUUUUUUUGGGUAAAUUUCAAACAGACACACACAGAUUCUGCAAGAUUUCUGUUUUGUUUUUUUGUUAGUGGAAGAGAUGCUCCAUAUUUUUUGUGACAUGUUUGAUCUCUUUUUCCCUCUAAAUUACAUUAUUGGCCUUUCUUAUUUCUAUUUCAGAUAUCAGGAGCAAUGAUAGAGA
rnacentral:misc_RNA from 1 species